rnacentral:lncRNA from 1 species
GUGGAUUGAUUGACGAUAUUGGCUCCCGUGGCUAAACGAAUAAUUGGUGUGAUCGACGAUCUCAAGCGAGCCACUGAAAGAAGUUCCAAGUGUUAUGCUGCUGCAGUGUCAUAAUAAGUUUUAUCUUUAAUGUGAUUUUACAAAUGGUGAACUAAACAAUGGUCAUUCGAUUUUGGGUUUGAGAGUUUGAAGGAUGAUCAGAUGUGUACAAUCAGAUCUUACAAUUCAUGGAUUUCAGAUGAAAAAUUCAGGAAAACUCAAACUACGACAAAAUAUGUGACAUGGCGGCUCUGGUCACCAGAAAGUUUCCCAGUGAGUUUUUCUCCAAUUUUGAUUUUUGUCGAUGAAAAUUUUCACCUGCAUAAUCACAUCAAUGGCUCCAAACAAUUUCUCCGCGGUGUUCUGUCGAUUUUGUCCUCCUUGGCAGAAUUUUUUCACCUGCGUAAUCACUUGGAGAUGGCGGCAUGGCUUGCAUUUUGACCAGUUGGAUAACCUGCAAUUUGUGUACAAUUUGCUACAUGUAAUCAAGAGCAGAGUUUUAGAUGAAUGCAUCCAUAAUAAUCUAGCCACCUUGGUUUCUUUUCUUCCAUACAGAUUAUAUCAACUGCCCGAUCAUCCGUUUUGAAAAAUUACAGAAGGGAUCGAGUUGGUAACUAACAAUGUACCUUCUAAUAGAUAAAGAUAGCAGUAAACUCGGAGAAACAAACUUGGACAACAUGGCAUAGCUGAACAUGGUCGGACCGCCAUAAAUUAUAUUGACAAGCACUAAACACCAAACAACCGUUUAGAAACUACAAGUACACACACAGACGAAGUCGCAUAUGAAAAUGAAACAAGCAGUUGUUCAAAUUGUACGACCUGGAGGGAAACAACACCAACGAGCUGUCACGAAUUAAUGGUUGCCCGCACACUUCCUGCUGGUAAUUGGCACGGUCCUUUAUGUACCUCUAGUCAACCAAUGGAAGAUAAUGCUACAAAAAUUUCUCAAUUGGUUAGCAAGGGUAUGAAAAAGACAGGUCAUGGAGAGUUCAUUCAUGCAUUCAUAGAGGAUCUUGGUGAUCUGAAGAUAACCAUGGGAGUGAACGAUUACUGGGAAUAGAGCACAAAGGUGGAUGACAAGUCCAUAACGAGUUUUUCCAGACUGAUGGUAAAGACUUGGUAGCCAACGACCAUGACUACACCUCUACUGCUAAAGAACACAAUUUCUUGCUUGGAGUCAAAAUUACAGCUGGUGUAUAAACAAAAGAGCUGCUGGGGAAGGACUAUGCUGGAUGGAUAUUCUAGGCAUUCUGCAGGCCAGGUUCAAGUCCAUGGAUUCUGGUUGAUUGCAGCAUGGUAGCCCAGGAAGAUAGCAUCAGCAGUGAUCACACCAGCAUCGGGGCGUAGCAGUCUGGCUUCCUUAUCUUCUCACAGUGAUGCAGAGGAGAAUGAUCACUUUAAGGCCGGAGCGAGAGAGCCGAAACCUACUUGGUUUUCUUGUCAGUCACAACAAAACAGAGGUGAACAAACUGAUUAGAUGGCCGGAAACCUACUUAGUUUUCUUGUCAGCCAUUUAAUCAACUCAUCCACCUCUAUUUGUGAGUGACAAGAAAACCUAGUUGGUUUUCGGCUCUCUAGCUCGCUCCAAACCUUAAAACGAUCAUCCUCCUUCUAUAUUACUGUGAGAACAUAAAAACCCAAACUGCUACACCGGAUAUCGGUGUGAUCAUCGGCUGAUACUAUCUAUCCGGGCCACCGUACUAUAAUCAACCAGAAUCCUUGGAGUCAGAAGCUGACCUGAAGAGUGAGCAAAAUAGCUAUGUUUAUUCAAUAAUUUGAAGAAGGUGUACUCUUUACCCUAUACAAAACCAAACAGAUUGUAAUAAAGUUAGGGCCAAGAACUACCAUGGAUGGAACUUACUCAAUAUUGUUCCAGGAAUUGAAAUGAGGACCAACAGUUAAAUGAACAUGGAGAGUCAAGUUUUGAUUAUAAUUGUCAAUUAGAAACUAGGAAUGGAUUGAAAGCAUCAAUUACCAAUCGGAUGAGAGAUUAGGUUUGGAGCCGAUAACCGAUGAGAAAUUGAAGUGGGGCAAGACAAAGAACAUAUUUGGCGUGGUUUUUGACGAUGGUGUCGAUUAUUCGACGGGGGAGAAGAGUGUUUGGUAUUGGUGAUGUGCGGCGGUGAGGUUGUGAGGAUAUAUAUAGGAUUAACCCUCGAUUCUCUAGGGUUUCAACAAUGAGUGAUAUGCGGCGGCGAAGUUUACGAAGUUAUAA